rnacentral:rRNA from 1 species
AUUGAACGCUGGCGGCAGGCCUAACACAUGCAAGUCGAGCGAGCGGCGGACGGGUGAGUAAUGUCUGGGAAACUGCCUUAUGGAGGGGGAUAACUACUGGAAACGGUAGCUAAUACCGGAUACCAUCAGAUGUUCCCAGAUGGGUUUAGCUUGUAGGUGGGGUAACGGCUCACCUAGGCGACGAUCCCUAGCUGGUCUGAGAGGAUGACCAGCACAACUGGAACGGAGACAGGGUCCAGAUGCCUAGGGGAGGAAGAAGUGGGGAAUAUUGCACAAUGGGCGCAAGCCUGAUACAGCAAGGCCGCGUGUGUGAAGAAGGCUUUCGGGUUGUAAAGCAUUUUCAGCGGGGAGGCGGUACCCGAAGAAGAAGCAACGGCUAACUCCGUGCCAGCAGCCGCGGUAAUUC